UGAAUUUUAGACAGCACUAAGAAUAAGAUUUAUCUCAUUUAGAAUGGAAGCUGCUUUCAAGAACUGCCCAUCUUCCCCUAUAAGCAUGGAAGUCUGAAUAACUAAAAGGAGAUUCAUCAGAGACCAAUUGAACAGUUCAACCCUUCAUC